AACGAACGCUGGCGGCAUGCCUAACACAUGCAAGUCGAACGAGACCUUCGGGUCUAGUGGCGCACGGGUGCGUAACGCGUGGGAACCUGCCCUUAGGUUCGGAAUCACUCCCCGAAAGGGGUCCUAAUACCGGAUAAUGUCUUCGGGCCAAAGAUUUAUCGCCUUUGGAUGGGCCCUCGUUGGAUUAGCUGGUUGGUAGGGUAAAAGCCUACCAAGGCGACGAUGCAUAGCUGGUCUGAGAGGAUGAUCAGCCACACUUGGAAUGAGACACGGCCCAGACUCCUACGGGAGGGAGCAGUGGGGAAUAUUGGACGAGGGGGGAUGGCGUGAUACAGCAAUGCCGGGUAAGUGAUGAAGGCCGUAGGGUUGUAAAGCUCUUUUACACGGGAUGAGAAUGACAGUACCGGGAGAAUAAGCUCCGGCUAACUCCGUG
rnacentral:rRNA from 1 species